rnacentral:rRNA from 1 species
AAAGCGUGCGCAGGCGGUUUUGUAAGUUUGUCGUGAAAUCCCCGGGCUCAACCUGGGAAUGGCGAUGAAGACUGCAAGGCUAGAAUCUGGCAGAGGGGGGUAGAAUUCCACGUGUAGCAGUGAAAUGCGUAGAGAUGUGGAGGAACACCGAUGGCGAAGGCAGCCCCCUAGGUCAAGAUUGACGCUCAUGCACGAAAGCGUGGGGAGCAAACAGGAUUAGAUACCCCUGU